AUGUGAUCUGUAUAAUUUGUCUUCCUCUCUAUUGUCACGUGGCCUGUGCAUUUACUUCAUCUGCCCUGAUGAUUUAGUCUAAACCAGCUGCUCUUCAAAUAAUAAUUCACAGUAUCUUUGACUGGUGCUAUUGCCUGUUUUUAAAUGUGGAAGCAAUAAAAUGUGCAAUGAUUCAUUUGAUUUUGUCACAUGGAUUGGAGUCGUGAUCUGAACUGGUACCUUGGCUUUAGGUGACUUUACAUCUGUGUUUUAACCCAGCCUUUUUACAAUAUCAAAACUAAAAGCAAAAGUAAAGGCUGUUUAUGAAGCCGGUAUUUUUUCAUUUCUCAUCACUUGAGGUAGAAAAUUCGAACCUAACAGAACGAGGAUGGCGUUUCUCCAGGUCUAUUUGAAGGUUAACAAAGACACAAUUAAAACAAUAAGUCUGUCAACAUCAGAUGAAGACAUUGGGAAACCCACCGUCAAAGAUCUAAAGAAAAAAGCCCUAAGUCAUUUUCCUGGAGUGAAUGAUCAUAACCAUCUGAGGUUGAUUUUCAAUGGAAAAGAUCUUGAAAAUGAAAAAAAACUUGAAGAUUACGGCAUUCAAGAACUCUCUGUCAUUCAAGCCAUAAUGAAAAUGCGUGGUGGAAAAGACCCAGUUCCACUUGAUGAAGAGUUUCCCAGGACUCAGUCUAUGGCAUGAUUAUAUUUUAAUAUUUGUAUAUAACUACAUAUUAUAUGACAAAUGUGUUAAGAAAAUGUGUAAAUGACAAAACAAUUAAAUAACAAAAAAAGAAUAAACUGUAAUAGUGUAAACCAGCAAAAAAAAAAAAAAAAAGUUCUCCCAAAAACUAUUAAAAUGUUUGUAGGAAAGAUUAUUUUUGUUGUUGUUGAUCUUAAGUAUUUGCUUCAGAAAAAUCACCGGAAUUAAACCUACAUUAAAACAAUGUAAAAAAUUAUAUGCUGUAAAAAAACAAAUACAAAAAGCAAAUUUGUUUGUAUACUUAAUUGAUGUAGACUUUUUAAAAUCUUUUUACUUUUUCAUAAUGUUUAUUGAUUGUCACCAUGAUUUCAGUUUGCAGGUAAAGCACUGAGGACAUAAUAUUUUGUACUUUAGUGUGAAUAAAAUAUGCAAUGAUAAA